rnacentral:lncRNA from 1 species
GGGUCCUUUGUCCCCAUUCCGGACUUCCCGGCCAUUUUAACGAGUUCAGACUAAACAGUUUCUUUAGCAAUACAUAUUUGUCACUUGUAACAAAUUUAGAAAGACAGGAGAUCUUUGGUGAGCCAAGCGAUCACAAAUACUGAUGUGGAGGUCUCGCUUCCCAUGUUUUUAUUUUCGGCUGUAAAGGACUAAACACUGGAGAAAAUAGCACCAUUUCUUCCACUAUCUCGACUUAAGGACAAACCUGAUCCCAAACUCUUCGCGCAGAAAUAAAAGUCAAUCAACAAUUCUCACCAGCUGUGCCACCAUGUCCCAUGGUGGGGAAGCCACACAGGUCAUCUGAGCAUCCAAGCUGCUUUUCAAGAAAUCUCCAAUUCCAGGAAGAAUGAGAACAUCAUUCUGUUGUGGGGUGCUCAUCAGAGAAGACUUCUCGGACAUGGGUUUUAGCCAAUAGAAAAUCUUUCUUAGCUGACCAAUGACUGACUACACUGUGUGUUCCAGAUCACGGUGUAGCACUGAGCCUUUCUCAGGGUUGAGCCUUUAAGCACAAAAAUCAUAGCCCAGGUUGACAUACUUCAGUUAUCAAGAACAGUUAGCCAGAAGCAGAACACCGAAGCCAGAAAACAAGGGUGGUACUUCUAGGGACUCUCCCAGAACUAUGGACUUUGAUGAAUUGAGUUUUUGUUUUAGUUUUGGCAGGUAGUGCCACCUACUACAUACAGCCUGAAUGGCAUUCAAUUAGGGAGUCAGCUGUGCUAAGGUCUCAGGGCCUGUUACAUUCCAAAGUUGCAGAACUAAAGAAUGUGUCUGUGAGAACAAAGCUCACCUGGUAGAUGAUUGUGGAAUUCCAGAACAAACGUGUGUAAAGAAUUCAUGUUUCUAUUUCAUUCUUCCUAUUUUCCAGAUGUUAUUCUACUGACAGGAAAGAAAGGCUAUGUGAAAGGCCCCUUUCUGAGCCCUAGUAAUUGCUUGUUAGUAAUCAUGAAAGCAUCAUGAGUUCAUGAAUGUUUCUUCUUUAAAAUUAUUAUAAUACCAUUUGUAUUCAUAAAUUAAGUGUAAAACAUGAUAAUAGUCAAAAGUAUUCAUAUUCCUAA